CCUACGGGUGGCAGCAGUGAGGAAUAUUGGUCAAUGGGCGCGAGCCUGAACCAGCCAAGUCGCGUGAAGGAUGACUGCCCUACGGGUUGUAAACCUCUUUUAUAAAGGAAUAAAGUGAGGCACGUGUGCCUUUUUGUAUGUACUUUAUGAAUAAGGAUCGGCUAACUCCGUGCCAGCAGCCGCGGUAAUACGGAGGAUCCGAGCGUUAUCCGGAUUUAUUGGGUUUAAAGGGCGCGUAGAUGGGUUGUUAAGUCAGUUGUGAAAGGUGGGGGCUCAACCGUAAAAUUGCAAUUGAUACUGGCAGCCUCGAGUACAGGAGAGGUAGGCGGAAUUCGGGGUGUAGCGGUGAAAUGCGUAGAUAUCGCGAAGAACUCCGAUGGCGAAGGCAGCUUACUGAACUGCCACUGACGUUGAGGCACGAAAGUGUGGGUAUCGAACAGGAUUAGAUACCCGAGUAGUC
rnacentral:rRNA from 1 species